CAGGAUGAUUCCUAGCACCUGGCAAAGAGGGCUGGGAAACCUGGAACCUUCCUUUAGUGCCAGGGUUGGAGGAGUCAUUAAUUCAGCCCAUUAGCUCUUAACACCCAAAUGAAGAGCAAGAAAGAGUACAAUGGAGAGGGUCCAGGAUCCAGACCUGGUCCUUAUCUCCUAGUGAACACACAUUGUCUAUCUAGAAAUUCUGGGUGCUGGGCUGGAGUCCAUGCCUGGACUGAAAGCAUUGCACUGCCCACUUUAGUGCUGGUCAUGAACAUCAUGUUGUGGUCCUUGUGCUGCAAACACAUGAAAUAACUAAAAUUGCCCCCAGAAAGCUCCUGAACUGACCUUAAAGAAUUUUUUUUCAGUGGAUGAGCAGAGGGUUGCUCAGCUGCUUUCCUUUGGGCAUUUCCAGAGGAGGGAGUUGGAGGGAAGGCUUGUUGUGACCAAGCAUUGUUGAGGCCAGGGUGGGGAGUGACUGGGAGGUGAUGGACACAGUGCAGAUUGGAGAGAGUAAAAACUGCAUCCUGAGAAGCAAAUGUGGCAUGUGGGGCCUACCCAGUGAGCUUGAGACUGAUGAGAAGCUGCUGCAGAGGUGACACCACCAACUUCCUAAAGGAGAAAAUCCCCCAACUAGAAAGUUUUAUUUUAAUGCUUUCCUUUCCAGGAAAAAAAAAAAAAGGUAAUUUUUCAUGUCUCCAAUACUCUGUGGAAUUUACAGGAUAAGGUGGAAAGCCCAGUUUCAAAUUCAGCUUUUCGGGUUGCAUUUCAAAGCCUGUCUUUUGAAACUGGAAACAGGAAGUUUUCUCUCUUUCAUCUCAGUUUGCUGCUGAGGGCAGUGAGAUGACUCAUGUCCUGGAGUCUGGCUUUUCUGCCUUUCCUCCAUUUUAUUUCCCCUUUGUUUUCUCCAACUGUAGGAAAGUUAUCAAGUAGGAAUAGGAGCAUUAAAACCAUGACACCAUGUCACCUGGUGACUUGUCCAGAACUGAUGAAAUUUUGAGGCAUUUCAACUGGAAAAGAACCAAGAAAGAGGAGGGAGGAAUGAAACGUGAUUUAUUAGAAAUAAACUUCUCAGAGGCCAGCAUUUGCAUUUUCAUUCAUCUUGAACCAAAAUAACUUUUCUGAUUUGCUUCACAUCGAAACUUGCUUCUUCACAGGGAACAUUUUCUAAUAGAAAUGAUCUCACUUUAAUAUUUUGGCAGGAUUUUCCUGUGCGUUUUUUUCUCCUUGGAACUGCACUAAUGCAGGGCAGUAAAAGAUGACAGACUGGUGAGUUGUGUGGGUGCUGAAAGGGCUGAAACUGCUGCUCUGUAGCUGCAAAACUCACUUGGACAUGGAACCAGUGGAGCCUCCUCCAAGGUUUUGCCAGGCCAGGGCUAUGAGAAAGUUGGGAGCACCUGGUGCUGCCUGCACUGCCUGAUGCAAAACCUUCCCAAGGAGCUCUGUGGUGAGGCAUUUUAAAACAGGACCCAUUUCCCUAGCCAAGAGGGAGCCUAGGAGCAAUGGCUCAUGGAAAACGAGAGUACCCGUCACCCUCCAACCAGCGGAGACUGGAACAGCUGCAGUUUUCCUAGGAAUUUUCAUGGGUACUUAGUGCCGCAGGGCUGCAAGAAAGGGUUAAAGUGUUUUCAGUUACGCAGUGCACAACAAACAAAGGGGAUGUGGUAAUCCCUCCUGCCACAGAGUGAAAAGUUCACUUGAUAUGCUACUUUACACUGAUUCUCACAGACUCUGGGAUUAAACCGGACCCACUCUGACGUCCAGGUUUUCUAGCAAAGGGCUCCAGCUCAGCCUGCCACAUUCACUUCAUAUUUGGGAACAUAUUCUCUGAAAAUCCUGCUGACAGAUGAAGAGCAGGAAGACAGCCAGUUUCCCAUGGAACAAUAGCUCCAUGCAAACCACAUCUCCUGGCGCCCAACCUGGCCUUGCUGUGGUGGCGGCUGGGGAUGUCGGCUGUAGCAGCAUCUCUGGGUCCCUGCCAGGUGCAGUCUGCCAGGACUGUCCUUCUGGUCCAUGUCACAGAGUCUUGCUUUUAUGCCCUGUCUCCCUGCCAGGCUUUGGGGCUGUGCCACACUAAUGACUUAGCUGGCAGUUACUGAGCUUUGGCUGAGCUCAGGGGCAGAGGAUGUAGGAGCCCAGCACUGGGAUGGAAGGGGCAAGGCAAGAUGCCUUAUGCCAUGGUUAGGCUGGGAUGCUGAGUGAACUGCUCUCCCUGGAUGCCCCUGGCCUUGCUUAUUUUCAUGCUUCUAUGUCUUAAAAGGUUCUUGCAGAGUUGUCUCAUGUAUAGGGACAACUAACAGAACUCCCCUGGUUGCGAAUCUCUGUCACUGCUGCCUGGUCCACAACAAUUCAACAGCCAGUGGCACAUCAGGACAUUUGUUUCUCUGGGAUGUUUGAGCUAUUUGGCAAAAAUUGACAAUCUGACUGUUGGGGAGGGCAGACUUCUUUCAGCUACACACAGACCUUGGCCCUUCAGGUGUUCUGGGUUUCACUCUUCAUCUGCACGGCAGGGUCAACCCAGCUUUCCCUUUGCUGGGAGAUGUGGCAGUGGUGUUUUUGAAUUCAUUGCUUUUUCUUUCUUUCAGAUGAAACACUGAAAAUUUUCUCUGAAAGCAAAUGUUUUAAUGAAAAGAACUCAUUAGGUGAAAAUCUGAUUGUGUCUUCAAAACCUCCCUUUGGUGAAUGAUUUCUGACCAAUUUUUCCAUAGAAGCUAUUCAAGGAACAAGGUACAAAACUUCCCUCUUGUUCAGUCCUUCAGCUAUUUCCCUGCUUUGGGGCACCAGCAUUAGCUCCUCUGCCAGAUUCUGUCCCAGUAGGUGCGAGAGUAGGAGAGAAGCAUGGUACACAUGCCGAGGGGAUGCCACACAAGGUCCCAACAUAACCCUGCCCACUCUGCUGUUCCCAGCUGCUCCUUGGAGCAAAUACUUUGGGUUUGAAAACAAGAACAACAAAGAGAAAGGUUUCAUGGAGACAUGUUUACCAAAGUCUGCAGCCUGAAGGGUUGUUGUGACCAGAACUGGUGGGAGGCUCUGCUUUGGCCCCAAACUGUGCUGUGGUCACGCAGAGGAUGAGCCAGGGCAGCUAUGUUUGCAAAAUAAAAACAAACAAACAAACAAAUAAAAUAGUCACCUUUCCCCUUCAGAGAUGUCCAGAAGGAUUUUGCUCCAACAUCUCUGGGGCUAAGAUGAAGCUCAAAAUUCAGUUCAAGUCACAGCAGUGGUCCCAAUGUAACCCUGUGCCCUUUUACAUUCACCUCUGGGUGUCAGGGGGAAGAGCAUAUCCUGUUCUGACCCUCCAGCUCUGAAUGGAGAGAUCUUUAAUCUGAUCUCUCCUCUCUUUCUAGACCAUUACCGUGUACAGCAGUUGGGGAUGACUCCUGGGGGUACCCAGAAUGUCACUCUGAACCAGGAAAGGACCUUGUCCUGGAUGAGACACCAGAGUGCUGUGGGUAUGUCCAGAAGGGUGGGACUGGAUGGGGAGAAGCUCUCAGCCUGCAAGAACCACAGACCAGGGAUCUCCUGGCCAUGCACAAGACAGUCACCGUGAUCUGCUGCUGGUAUAUGCACCCUCGCUUCCCACCCCCUCACCCCAUGGCUUGGGUGAUGCUGCAACCCAGCCUAUCCAAAACAAUAGGACCUUGAUCCAGCAGAGCCAAGGGAAAGCAAGGCUUGGGCCUGAUCCUGCUCCAUGCUCUGAGUUCCUGACCCACACUAGUGAAAAACUGAGUUGAGAGGGCUGGAGGCUUACAGACCUUGCCCCAGAACAAAUGUGACAGGGGCACAGCCACACAUGGGAUGCUCCCAGGAUUGAUGGGGUGGGAGCAGUGCGGGGCAGUUGGGACUUCAGACAGCCAGGGCCCCCCAGCUGCCUCCCUACUGCUGUUCCCUGUCUGGGGGAGGAGGAAGCGUUUGCUAACCUCCAGCUGUCUGUCCUGUCCAGGCCAGGGUGACUCUAUUUAGGGGGUUAGUGGAACAGUGAAUUAUAAAAUGCAUCCUUCCCCUGCCCCUUACUCCUCCUCUCCUGCUCUGUCCAUCCCCUGUGCCCUCCACCCCUUGCCUCUUCCCAGUGUAGCCCACCACACUCUACCUUCUCUCAUGAAGCCUUUUCCCUCACCCUCACAGUGUCCUUGCUCCCCACCCCUCGCCAUCACCACAGGGAUGUGACAUGAGGGAAGAAAGAGAGAAAUAGGUUGAUCUGGUGGGGAAGAAAAAAUGACAGAGACCUGCAGCUCCUGUCUCUUCAGAAGCUGCAGGGGAACAUCUGGCUACCAGGAAUAAUGAGAGAUUUGGAAGGAAUUGCCCACUAAAGGUAUUUCCUUCCAGCUGAAAAACCUCCUGGAAGGACAGCACCCCAUCCUAAAGAUGGCCUGUGGAGACUCCCUCCACCAAGUCAUUCCCAGCCCCGUGUCAGAUGAGCUACGUGCGGGUACACACACGGCACUGUGAGAGCCGGCUGAGGGCUCUGAGCCCUCGGGUCAUCAUCCUGCAGCAGCACUGCGCCAGCCGGGCUUUCGGAGAGCGCCCUUCAGUGUCGGGAGAGGCAGCUGCAGCCGGGUGUCAGGGGACGGGGUGGAGGGAGGAAGGGGAGCUGCGCAGCUCCCAGCUGGGGAAGGAGGCUUUAGGUUUUGGCUGGACCUCAACAGCAGUUCUGCUGGCAGCACUGGUCUGGGAAAUGCAGUGUGCCUCCUCCUCCAGCCAGAUCCAGCCUGAUCCAGGCCCCCCGCGCAGCUACUUUUGCUACUGUGCUGCCAACCCCACACCAAGCGGCUGCAGCAGUAGGCUGAUGCCACACACGCAGAUGGGUCCCAGUGACCCAUCUCCCUUUCCCUCCAAGUGGGAGGGGAUGCCGAGCAUGGACACUGUUCUUGCAUCCUCACCCGGGGGGUCUGGAAUGCUUUUGAGGUCAUGAUGGGGAACCGGCUGGGCUGAGGGGCUGGUGGCUGUCCACCCCAGGACCUGAACAGGGCAGCAGUGUGGGAACAGCACGUGGGACGGGUUUCUACCGUGUCCCCUGUUGCACUGCUGGGAGGCACUAAGAUGCUUCAGGUGAAAGACUGGGAACAGACCUGACGAGGAAGCACAUCUCCAGCUCUGAGUCCCAGUGUUUACUUGACAGAGCCCCACAAUCUCCAUGGCUGAGUGGCCUCAUAAUGCUCCAAUGUUGCUGCUGAGCGAGUGCUGGCGGAUGUGGUAACAGCUGCUGGACAAUACUGGGCAGCUGUGCACUUUCACGCUGGGUAAUACACCAGAACCACACUGCAGAGGGCUGCUGGCCUGCCUGUUCCUAUGGAAACUCCUUUCAAAAGAGAAAGGCAGACAAACACCCACCCAGUGAUGCUGGGUGCUGGCAGGAACCGGAUGCUCUUGCAAGCCUGGGGCUGGCUGGGCUGGUUGCAGCAGCUGCUGUGACCCCAGCAUGAGGCUGUGGGGAGCACAGCCAGCCAAGGGGGUGAUUCCUAUGGUGCUUGAGCUGCCUGGAAGGGUCUAUCCCCACAAUCUUGGGCAGCAAUGAAAGUACUUAAAUAAGGAAAUGAGCUAUUGAAGGAGAGGGGUCAGAUCACAGCCCUCUCCCAGGACUAAGGAUUAGAGCACUGUGGCAAUAGGAGGGAUAAUGUCUGGCCAUCUACAGCUGUGCAGGCAGUCACAGGAUACCAGAGAGAGCAAGCAAAGAUUUGGAAGCAGAGUCUGAUAUGUCUCUUCCGAGUGCAUGGCACUUUCCAUCCCUGGAGGUGAAAGGAUGCUCUGUGCCAGGGUGGUUAUCCAGCACCUUGCAGGCAGAACUGUGCUGGGGUAGUGCAUUGCUGCCACAGAGGCUUCACCCUGCAUCUGCAGUCCAGGCAGAAGGAUCCCUGCAAAGACUCUUGGGGUGGUUUGCAGCUGGCUCCAUGAAUGCAGGAAGGACCAGGUGGGAUGAGAGGGGAGGCAAGGAGCAGGGCUCUGUCUGUCCAUAUUUUCUUCAGGGACCAGACCAUGGGAAACCCAUUGAAUUUUCGUAACAGGAUGGUGGUUAAGUGUAGCAACCUUGAGUCUGCCUUAGUGAGCAGGAGAGGCAGACGGGCCCUUGGGGAAGAGCUGUCCUGCUGCCCCAGAAAUUGCGGAAGUUUAGUUAAGUCCCUGACAUUUCAAUGCAAGUCUCCCCUGGCCCAGGCAGUGGCUACAGGGUGUUCAGAGCUUGGUACAGAGGACAGGGAUGUUCAAAUGUCUCCCUUCCCCUCCCCUCCCUUGGACACUGCAAGCCAGCAUGGGACAAGGCUGAUUGCACCAGCCUCAACAACCCCAGUGCUCAGACUGCCUGGUUUGUCUUCCCAAGGUGAGGGCAGGUGAUAAACAUCUGAUGUGCCCAAUGUGAGCUUAAGCAGAAGUGCCUUGGGCCAGCAAGUAGCUGCUGGAAUUCGAGAGCCUCCCAUGCCACUCUGGGGACAGGGCACUGUCUCAGGGACACUGUGACCUAUCAUAGUAGGACUUUCCUGGCCCAAGUGGGGACUGCAGCUGUGUGGGAUGGGUGGCAAAGCUACUGAGGCCUUACUGGAAUGGGAGUGUGGAGGCACCUGCUUGGGCUGAAGCUAAACACAAGUGAUGUAAGGCCAUGUGUUAAUGCCUGGGCUGUCAAACAGCUUCAGGUGGGCCUUUGCCUUAUUGAACCCAUUUCUCUGGGCAGAGAGGGCUGGAAGUGAUGUGGGUAAAGCCAUCUCCUGGUCACAUUUAAUUAGGUUUCUGUGUUGGUUGGCACUCUGCUUCUGAGGCGAUGCUGCUCCAUCAGUCUCCAUCACCAUAUGCAUGGUAUGCUCAGCAGACAGGGACUGCUCUCCUGUUUCAUCACAAUCAAAUUCUGGAGCAACCAGAUAUCCAUAUCUUGGAUAUGGAAGGUGGUGAGCAAGUCUCUCACUAAAUUAGUUUUAGCAAGAGGGAGAUCAGUUGCUUCCAAGAAGAUUGAUAUCUGCUAAAAGCUGAAGUGCUAUUAACUGUUGAUGAGGCUUCAGGAGCUUCAAACUGUCCGAGCAUACAUUUGGGUUCUGCAUUGGAAUAACUCUCAUAUGGUUCCUGGUAAGCCCUCAGACACCUGGGCAGAUAAGCAUGUGCACAGGUGACAAUGAUGCAUGAUCUACAGAUGCCCAAAUCAGAGGAUCCUUGAUGGACUCCGCAAAUUAUUUUGAGACAUGAUGUCCUGUUGUCUCUUGAGAACCUUGCAGGUAUGCUGACAACGUCAUACAUCUGCCGUGAGUUUAAUUGUGCCAAGAUUAUUGAAAAUACCCCAAGUCAAUUGCACAGACUUGGGCAGACCUCACCUACAAGCUCAUCCAUUUAAUCUUGAGUUUAGUUCUUUUACCCUUGAAAGAGACUGGUUGUGACAAAAUCUGGCAGCAAUCACUUUUUAUUGCACAAAUGUCUACCCAUCUUGUACUGCAACUGCCCAUGAAACAUUUGAGGGGUGCACAGAGACACCUUUAUGGGCGAGGCUUUCUGCUGGAAAAGAUUGGGCUGCAGAAGAAGAUGGCUCAGCUCCUGUUGCCACGUCUUGUAUCAUGGGGAUGUAUUCUUACCUGCAACCACGUUACUUUGGGCAGGUUUAAAUCUUGUCUUUGCUUAAUCCAAUCACAUCCAGCUUUGGAUGAAAAUUGUCCUGAGACACCAGGACUAACUAAGAAAUAUUUCUGAUGGACAAGAUUCUUUGAGUUCCUUUUGCAAGCUCAAGGGGCUUCCAUUCCAACAAAUAUUAAGUCAGGCAAAAAUGCCAAGAAGUCUGCACGGAUGAAUAAAGAGAUCCUAGCAAAACUAAAACAAGAGAAAGAAGCAUACAGGGUAGAAGUAAGGUUGGAUAACUGGAACAAAUACAGAAGCAUUGUCAAAGCACACAGGAUUGAAGUUAGAAAAGCCAAAGCCCAAGUGAAAUUGAAUCUGGCUGGGAAUUCAAAAACAACAGGAUGGACUUUUCCUCUGGCACGCCCGGAGUUUUCUGCUACACUGUGUUUGUCAUCCCGGCUGUGCCCGCCUCUGCUGUUCCAGCCUGCUGCCUCCGAGGUUUCCUGCUGCAAUCCAUUCAGUGUCCCGAGGGGCACUGAGACCAGCUACUUCCCGCAAGUUUGCAAAGGAAAGGCCCUUUUCUCUUUCUCUCGCUGGCUGAGCCGCCAUUGCCACGUGGAGACAGAGACAGCCAAUCUCGCGCCACAGCGCCCCCUGCAGGCGCGGGGAAUCACCGCACCUGCCCUGCCCGGCCGGGAGCCAGCAGCGCCCCUGCCGGCCGUGAGUGGAACUGCACCGAGGGGAAAGCGCCUGCGGCCGGUAGAGGCCGGCACUGGGUCUCUGGUUCUGUUUGUUGCUGCUUUUGCUGUUGCUUCCUUGCCUUGUUAUACAUGCUAGUAAAGAACUGUUAUUCCUUUUCCCAUA